UACGAAGGGGGCUAGCGUUGUUCGGAAUUACUGGGCGUAAAGGGCGCGUAGGCGGUGUGUCAAGUCAGGCGUGAAAGCCCCGGGCUCAACCUGGGAACAGCGCUUGAGACUGGCACGCUCGAGUUCGGGAGAGGAUGGUGGAAUUCCCAGUGUAGAGGUGAAAUGCGUAGAGAUGUGGAGGAACACCAAUGGCGAAGGCAGCCUUCUGGGCCAACACUGACGCUCAUGCACGAAAGCGUGGGGAGCAAACAGG
rnacentral:rRNA from 1 species